rnacentral:lncRNA from 1 species
CUACACAAGAGCUGUGACUUUUGGCUGAUGGAUAUUGCAGUGGCCGAAGUGCUUUGCAGCAAAGUAAGUCUGGUUCCCCCCUUUUUAACGUGGGGAUAUCUACAGUCAUCAUAGUCUAGAUAUUAUUUAUAUAUUAACCAAGGAGAGUCUAUCUAAUUCAAAAUGAUGUUUUAGAAUUUUUAUAUGGAGAAAUGUUGCUUUCUAGCCAGGAAGCUUCUCUUUGGUACCUUGGAACCCAACGAAGCUGACUUCAAGGGUCUCUCCGGUGUUGUCAUGGGUGGCUUAGCACCAGGAGUUACAGUAGGCACGGUCCACAAGUCUGUGGUUUCCUCAGUGGCAAAUAAGAAACACCUAUAAAGUGUUUCUAAUAUCAGUAUGUUUGAUUAUUCCUGUCUGUUGGUGCAUCCUUAUAGGUGGUCUUACCCGUGGGGAACUAAGAAAGCGUGGCUGAUUCACCCUCCUCUCCUGAUCCUGGACUUGACCCUUUUCGAGCAGUGGGAGGAGCAGAGGCCAGAAAGGCACACAGAACCAGCUAUAGCAUGAGGCAAGGCAUCACUGUUAGCAUGCUUCAAAUUCCUGCCAGUGACACGCUUGUUUGAAGAAAUUAGAAACAGAGCUUACUGACACGUACAUAAUGGAUAGCACCCCGUUCUUCCUUGGCAGGCCCUCUUGGUGAAGAAAUCAUUCUUUUCCCAUCAAAAUUGGGAGUUUGAACCUAAAGGCAAAAUCAGCAUUGUUACAAACCAUGGGAGCAUUGAUGUUCUGUAUUUUCCUGCUCCUGGUGCUCAGCUCCCCGUGGUGUCAGCAGAAGAUGUACAGAGAGAGGAACAACCCAGCAGGGCCAGCCCAGCACGUGGAUGGAGGUCAGUCUUCUCCUUCCUCUUCUCCGUCUCCUCCCCUCCACUGGCACAAGGGCUUCUUCUGUCACUUUUACACUUGAAGGAUCUCAUAGCCCGAGUUUCAGGCUGUGAAGGCUUUGACCAGACCAUUGGAGGAUAUAUCCUGGCUUUAGGUAGGAGGCUGUGUGAUGCUUCAGAGGGGAAAGUUAGCAGGAUCUUUCAUUUUGUGUCCUG